UUUAAGUUUACUUUAUUUGGCACAUCCGAAGCAAUAACCAUUGAAAAAAAUGCUCAGUCCGGUUAAUCUAUUGGUGUUUUUGUUAAUUGUAAUCUGGACAGUCAUCGAAGUCGAAAGUUGUGCUGACAAUGGACAAGCUUGCUUUCGGAAUCAUCAAUGUUGUUCUGGUCAGUUCUGUUCGUAUCUGAUGGGUUUUCUGUGCGUCUACAAAUAGUUCAGUGUAAUUAAAUCAAUUUACAUUUUUUCGAAGUAUUUUAAAAAUGAAUCGUGAAUAUGUGUGGACUAAGGAACAAUGUUGUCAAUCGUAGAAUAAGAUAAGAACCUGAAAGGGGACCCGUACGAAGGGUAUUCCCAACAUUUAUGUACCAAUAUAAUAAAUCAUUUAUCUUGAAGCAACAAA